GAGGAAUAUUGGGCAAUGGGCGCAAGCCUGACCCAGCCAUGCCGCGUGAAGGACGAAGGCCCUAUGGGUUGUAAACUUCUUUUAUACGAGACGAAACUUCCGGUCGUGACCGGGAUUGACUGUAUCGUAAGAAUAAGCAUCGGCUAACUCCGUGCCAGCAGCCGCGGUAAUACGGAGGAUGCAAGCGUUAUCCGGAUUUAUUGGGUUUAAAGGGUGCGUAGGCGGGAUAAUAAGUCAGUGGUGAAAGCCUGCGGCUUAACCGUAGAAUUGCCAUUGAUACUGUUAUUCUUGAGUAUAGUUGAGGUGGGCGGAAUGUGUAAUGUAGCGGUGAAAUGCUUAGAUAUUACACAGAACACCAAUUGCGAAGGCAGCUCACUAAGCUGUUACUGACGCUGAGGCACGAAAGCGUGGGGAGCAAAC
rnacentral:rRNA from 1 species